rnacentral:rRNA from 14 species
GCCAUGCAUGUCUCAGUGCAGCCGUACGCGUUCGCGCGUCUAGGUGAAACCGCGAAAGGCUCAUUAAAUCAGUUAUGGUUCCUUGGAUCGUACCAAUCAGUUACUUGGAUAACUGUGGUAAUUCUAGAGCUAAUACAUGCCGACAGAGUUCCGACCGCCUCGUGCGGGAGGAACGCUUUUAUUAGAUCAAAACCCAUCGGUACGCGGCUUCGGCCCGUACCGACAACACUCGGUCCGUUCGCGGGCCGACCAAGUGGUGACUCUGAAUAACUUUGUGCUGAUCGCACGGUCUCAGUGCUGGCGAUGCAUCUUUCAAAUGUCUGCCUUAUCAACUGUCGAUGGUAGGUUAUGCGCCUACCAUGGUGGUAACGGGUGACGGGGGAUUAGGGUUCGAUCCCGGAGAGGGAGCCUGAGAAACGGCUACCACAUCCAAGGAAGGCAGCAGGCACGCAAAUUACCCACUCCCAGCUCAGGGGAGGUAGUGACGAAAUAUAACGAUACGGGACUCAUCCGAGGCCUCGUAAUCGGAAUGAGUACACUUUAAAACGUUUAACGAGGAUCCAUUGGAGGGCA